GCGCGCGCGCGGGCGUGCGGAGUGGAGGCUGCAGUUUAGCAACCGUGGGUGCGCGCGGAUUGCGCGCGUAGGCGCCGGGUUUUGAAAUGCAGCGGGAUUUAGUGAGUUUCCCGCUGUCCCCAGCGGUGCGGGUGAAGCUGGUGUCCGCAGGUUUCCAAACUGCUGAGGAACUCCUAGAGGUGAAACCAUGUGAACUCAGCAAAGAAGUUGGGAUAUCUAAAGAGGAAGCCUUAGAAACUCUGCAAAUUAUAAGAAGAGAAUGUCUCACAAAUAAACCAAGAUAUGCUGCUACAGCUGAGUCAGGCAAGAAGUGUACAGCACUGGAACUUCUUGAGCAGGAGCAUACCCAGAGCUUCAUAAUUACCUUCUGUUCAGCACUAGAUAAUAUUCUUGGGGGUGGAAUACCCUUAACCAAAACAACAGAAAUUUGUGGUGUACCGGGUGUUGGAAAAACACAGUUAUGUAUGCAGUUGGCAGUAGAUGUGCAGAUACCAGAAUGUUUUGGAGGAGUGGAGGGCGAAGCAGUUUUUAUUGAUACUGAAGGAAGUUUUAUGGUUGAUAGAGUUGUAGACCUUGCUACUGCCUGCAUUCAACACCUUCACCUUAUUGCAGGAAGACAUAUGGGAGAGGAGCACUCAAAAGCUUUGGAGGAUUUCACUCUUGAAAAUAUUCUUUCCCAUAUUUACUAUUUUCGUUGUCGUGACUACACAGAACUAUUGGCACAAGUUUAUCUCCUGCCAGACUUUCUUUCGGAACAUUCAAAGGUUCGAUUAGUGAUAGUGGAUGGUAUUGCUUUUCCUUUUCGUCAUGACCUAGAUGAUCUAUCCCUUCGGACUCGAUUACUAAAUGGCCUAGCCCAGCAAAUGAUCAGCCUUGCAAAUAACCACAGAUUAGCUGUACUUUUAACAAAUCAGAUGACAACAAAGAUUGAUAGAAAUCAGGCCUUGCUGGUUCCUGCAUUGGGGGAAAGUUGGGGACAUGCUGCUACAAUACGGCUAAUUUUUCACUGGGACCAAAAGCAAAGGUUGGCAACAUUGUACAAAUCACCAAGCCAGAAGGAAUCUACAGUACUGUUUCAAAUCACACCUCAAGGAUUUAGAGAUGCUGUUGUUGUUACUGCAUGUUCUUUGCAAACAGAAGGUUCAUUGAAUUCCCGGAAACGGUCGCGAGAAUCAGAGGAAGAACAGGAAUCCAAAGACUAGUCUUAAAAUUUAGUUCAUCAUUGACAUUGGCCUUUCUGUGCUUCAACUAUCCAUUUGAAUCUCACUACCCAUUUGGCUUUCCUUAUGUGCAAGAGAGCACAAGCAGGGAGAACAGCAGAGGGAUAGGGAGAAGCAGGUUCCGGGCACCGCAGGGACUCGAUUCCAGCACUUCAGAAUCACGACCUGAGCUGAAGGCAGAUGCUUAACCGACUGAGCCACCCAGGUGCUCCUACAAUUUCAUGUAAAUGGAAUCAGAUAGUAUGUACUCUUUUGUGCCUGGAUUUUUUUUUCACUCAGCAUGUUUUUGGGAUUCAUCUACAUUGUGUUUCUCAGUAAUUUCGUUUUACCACUGAGUAGUAGACUAUUGUAUGAAUACACCACAAUUUGUUUAUUCACUCACCUAUUAAUGAAUAUCUGGGUUAUUUCCAAGUUUGAGCUAUUUAAAUAAAACUAUUGUGAACAUUUUU